UUUCUUCACAUUGAGAAGUCAGGAUUCAGGGACUCUGGAGUCUCUGAAAAUGCACUGUUCUCCAGGACCAGUGACUGUGCUCUUCUUAGUGACUGGAGCAGUCAGUGGAGACUCAGUGAUCCAGACAGAAGACCGAAUGACCCUCUUUGAAAGAGAUUCCUUAACUGUGGAUUGUUCCUAUGAGAACACACAGUAUCCGAAUCUAUUCUGGUAUGUCCAGUAUCCUGGAGAAGGUCUACAGCUUCUCUUGAAAGCCAGGACAGCCAACGAGCAGGGAAGAAACAAAGAAUUUGAAGCCACAUAUGAUAAAGCAACUGGCUCCUUCCACUUGGAGAAAGCCUCGGUGAAAGAGUCAGACUCGGCUGUGUACUACUGUGCUCUGAGUGACACAGUGGCAGGAACUGCAUGGGGAGCUGAGCACAAACUCUGA